rnacentral:tRNA from 1 species
GCCUUUGUGGUGCAAUGGUCAGCAUACUCAGUGCGUAUCCGAGAGGUCCGAGGUUCGAGUCCCGGCGAGGGCA